rnacentral:misc_RNA from 1 species
GGGAGUAAAAGUCGUAACAAGGUCUCCGUUGGUGAACCAGCGGAGGGAUCAUUACCGAGUGCAAACUCAUAACCCUUUGUGAACCUAUAUCUGUUGCUUCGGCGGCUCGCUCUCGGGCGAGCCCGCCGGUAAUAUCAGUAUCUCUGUUUGAACCCGACGAUACUUCUGAGUGUUCUUAGCGAACAGUUAAAACUUUUAACAACGGAUCUCUUGGCUCUA